UGUGUAUUGUGUUGAAUAUAGUUAGUGGUAAAAAUAACACAACAAAUUAAAAUGUAUUUUGUUUUUAUUUCAAAAUAUGAUGCAACUAUGUAUUUUUUUGUUUUUGCUCAUGACCAGUGAAAAAGUGUGUUUAAUACAAGUGUUUUGUUGCUGGCCAAUGAAUGUUGGAAUUGUUGUUGUUGCAUCAUGACGUGAGUUACGUGCGGAAGAAGAAGAGGAGCAUCGCACAUGAAGAGAAGCAGCUGCAUGUGUCUCGGUCGCGUGAGAUUUGUUGUCAUUUUGGAGACCAGUUAUGUUAUCUGUAAUGUAAGGCCCAAAGUGCAAAGGAAAACGUUUAUAGGAAACAUUUUAUUCACUUUAUUUUGCUUUAUUGCUUAAAGUGAUUUAUUUUUCCUGUUAGUCUCUUCGCGAUUGUUUGAGAACUCCGUGUGUGCUGAUUUCUCAUCAGAUAGAGACAUUUACAUUUGCACACAGUGACUGAUGUGAAGAAGUUCGUUGUGAACUCGUCCUAAAUUCGUUUGGGACCGGACACCUCUAGCAUUUCAUCACUGGAUGCAGCUCGACUGGACUUUGUUUCGUGUGGAUUAAACGGGACUGGAGAAAGUGAGUUUGUGUCGUGAGUGAUUCAAACAUUACCUCGUCAUUAUCAUCGGAUGGACGUGGGUGAGUUCAUCUAUUGAGACUCGUUGACUGUGAGAGAGAUCGCACAGAACCCUUCAGCUUUAUAUGUGCACCAACGGACUGGGCCCCAACGUUAAAGUGUUUGAAAGAUCUUGAAAGAACGUGAUUUUGGUAUUGUAUUAUUUUUGGAGUGUGUAACUUAAUCAAGGGUUUGAUAUUUUAUCUCAUAUUUUAAUUUGAGGUUAAAAUUUAAGAAUACAGGUUUAAGAAGCUAAGUAUCUGAAAAAAGAAUUCUGAGAGGUUGUAUAAAUCUUUUAUUUGCUGGAAAACAAAUAAUUCACGGAUUGUUGGUAAAAUAUUUUCUGUGUUAUUUGCUAUUCUCUAUACAACUUAUUUGUUUCGUCAUUUAGUGCUUUCUUGGAAACAAAACAAAGUCAUUUUAUUAGUGUAAAACAAAAUAAAUCAUUGCUAUUCUUUUUUUCCCCUAAAUUUGUUAUCUGGUAUUUCAUUGUUCUUUUAGAUAGUUAAUUCAUUUAACACAGUUACAAAUUUCUAAGAAAACUAUAAAUAAGGGUUUUUCUUACUUUAAUUUUAUUGUGUGAUUAUUGGUACAGGAGAAAAGCUAAAUUACAACUGUUUUUAAUUUAAAGAAAAGAAGCACCGGCCAAAUUCCCCAUUCAACUGCCGGGAACCCAGGUUCUUCUUAUUUAACAUAGCAUUGAAAUUAACCCCUAGGGUUAAUAAAAGGGUUACAUACAGAUACCUUAAAUGUACUGCUUGGUGACCAACUGCCUUCACGGAGGCACCUGGGAGCGGCCUCCGGUAGACACCCUGGAGAUUCACCCUGCACAUCACGAUGAAAGCCGGUCGGAAAUGUCCCAUCUUUGCCAGCGUUUCAAAACUGUAGACUAAACCAUGGUUUUGCUGUGAUAAAGACUUGAUGUGAAUAAAAUAUAUGAAUUCCUAUUUAGAGAAAUCAAUUUCCCUAGCCUUACGUUAGCAUCUUGUAGUCGUUUUCAUAAUCAGAUCACAUACCUCACUUCACUAUUGCCAAUAAGAUCAGAUUUAUUUCAUCACUCAAUAUAUGCUAUUUCAUCUGUUGUGUUUGUUAUUUUCUUUGUCAUAUACCUUAUUAAUCCUUCAUUUAUUCAGUUAUUAGACAUUUAGCUAUAAAUAAAUGCCCUCAUUUAAUCAGUAAGAAGUUGUCUGUGUCAAGGUCAAUCUUUCAAAAGAAUUUAAAUCCUUCUUAGAGACUGAUCUAUUUAAUGAUCCAAGUUUAAUUCAUUUAAUUAAUUAAUUUCUCCUUGUAAAAGAGUGGUGCCCCUUCAAGUGAAUUGAGUGUAUUAGUGAAUUAGUGUUAUUUGAUUAAAGUAGUUGAUUUUCCUACAGUCAUUAUAUAUUCUUUAAAUUAAGUAAAUACAGUUUAAAAGCAUGACCAACAUCACUUCCCUCCAUUCAAACAUACAUGUAGCCGGUUGCUGGAAGCACGUGAUGUUUCCAAGAUGUCUUGAAGAACUCAAAUGUUGCCAUGUACUUGGCAAUCCUGCAACACAUUUGGGGAAAAUUGGAAAAUCAAUUACAAUCUCAAGUUGUUUUCUGCAGCUUUGUAGUUUCUGUUUCACAAAACUAAAUAAAGACACGGUUUCCUGGAAGGCAGUGCA